GUCAGUGUGACCCAGGGUCUCCCGGUCCUGGUCAUCCCUGCUGGCUCUAGGAGAGGGGUUCAGUGCCCUGGGGACCCCCCUGCCCCCUGCUUUGCCAUGGCUGCAGCAAAUGAUAUGCAAGGCCGAUUCUAGCGGGAGGUGCAGGCACACAGGGCCCACCCCGCCUGUCCACCUGCCGGGGCCAUGCUGAGCUGCCAGCAGCCCAGAGGGGAGGCACGGACACUUCUGGGGAGCAGUUCUCGGGGGCCUCCCUACUCCCCUCCCUGUCCUCACUCCUGCAACCUCCGGGUGCUAAAAUCCGCGGAUCCUCGAAGGGCUGAUGACCUCGAAGCCUUCGCGGUUUGGAACCUGUCAGAAAGAUGUCUCUGCUUGGCUGUCAGAGUCACCUUGCCCAUUCAUUCAUUCAAUCAUUCAUUCAGCUCUGUUCCCUAUCCUUAGGGAGCCAGUGAGUGCCAUGCCUGCUAGGACUCCCAGACCCCCUUCUGCGGAGGCUGCUGUACACACAGCCCCAUUUUCCAGAUGGAAAAGUGAGCUUGGAGGGGGGCACUGUUCCCAGGAGCUAGCCCACGCGCCUCCCAGCAGCUCCCCCUCCCCACCGGUGUGAGCUGCACUUCCUCCUGACUCUCUGGUUAUUAAUAGCACAGAGCGCAGAAGUCAGUCAACCACAGCCCGAGCAAGGACGGUGGGAAACUGACCAGAUGCGUCCCGGAGCCUCCAUCAGCACCAGCGCUGCCGCUCUGCGAAGUGCCGGCGGCAGAGCACCCCGGUCAGCCUCAGGAAGCACCCCAAGUGGGUCCGUGGAUCAGCUUCCCCGGGCUGGCCAGAGAGGAGCCACGUGUGGAGAGGGACGUGAAACCCACACGGCAGCAGCUCUGCCCGCGCGUUCGUUCAGAAACAUUUUCCAUGAAAUGCGGAAGUCUGAAGACGGUAUACCCUCCGGGGCUGGCCGGGCCGUGGCAGCGUGGACACCUGGCCUCACCCCUCCACCGUGCAGGAAGGCGGCUCUGCCUCUCGGGGAGCAGCGCUGGGCCAAAGCGUGCCUGGUGGUCCUCGUGCGGCUUCCAGACGUCACCCCUGACGUCCUGGUGGGGGACAAGCAAGGGGCAGAGGCUCUGGAGAGGAGACCCCAUUUCCUGUGGGGCUGAGCUGGCUCUCGUGCCCGGGACCCCAACAGCUCCGGUGACUGCUGUUUUGGUCACAGAAGAUAAUGACCAACUACAU